rnacentral:rRNA from 1 species
GUAGGUGGCAAGCGUUGUCCGGAAUUAUUGGGCGCAAAGCGCGCGCAGGCGGUUCUUUAAGUCUGAUGUGAAAGCCCACGGCUCAACCGUGGAGGGUCAUUGGAAACUGGAGAACUUGAGUACAGAAGAGGAAAGCGGAAUUCCACGUGUAGCGGUGAAAUGCGUAGAGAUGUGGAGGAACACCAGUGGCGAAGGCGGCUUUCUGGUCUGUAACUGACGCUGAGGCGCGAAAGCGUGGGGGAGCAAACAGGAUUAGAUACCCUGGUAGUCCACGCCGUAAACGAUGAGUGCUAAGUGUUAGGGGGUUUCCGCCCCUUAGUGCUGCAGCUAACGCAUUAAGCACUCCGCCUGGGAGUACGGCCGCAAGGCUG